rnacentral:misc_RNA from 1 species
GAUGAAGAACGUAGCGAAACGCGAUAAGUAAUGUGAAUUGCAGAAUUCAGUGAAUCAUCGAAUCUUUGAACGCACAUUGCGCCCCUUGGUAUUCCAUGGGGCAUGCCUGUUCGAGCGUCAUUUGUACCUUCAAGCUUUGCUUGGUGUUGGGUGUUUGUCUCGCCUUUGCGUGUAGACUCGCCUUAAAAUAAUUGGCAGCCGGCGUAUUGAUUUCGGAGCGCAGUACAUCUCGCGCUUUGCACUCAUAACGACAGCGUCCAAAAGUACAUUUUACACUCUUGACCUCGGAUCAGGUAGGGAUACCCGCUGAACUUAAGCAUAUCAAUAAGCGGAGGA